UUCGCUGGCAAAACGAACUCGAUCCCAACUAACAAACAAACGAGCCUUUGAUUUACGAACACUGCAACAAGAUGAAUUUUAAUCGUACGUCGCGACAUCGGCCUGGGCAUUGAAAUUGAUAGCGAUUUACAAAACUUACACUGGCCACCCUGGAAAGAUGCUAUUUAAUUCACGAAGACUUCAUUCUCAUCAUUGAGAUUCCAUUUUCUGGAACUCGAUGCCGUUCGAUAGAGAUACCGGUGCAUCUCGCCUUACGUUUACGUUCCAGUCAUUCUUAGGAGAUGCAAGUAUUCGAUGUAUCCACGAGAGCUGGCGCCGUGAGAGCUCUAGACGACCAUCCAUAAAAUAUACCCGUCGUCGAGCGAAAGGAAGAGAAAAAGAGAGGGAGAGAGAGGGAGAGAGA